GCCCGGUUAGCUCAAUCGGUAGAGCGUGAGACUCUUAAUCUCAAGGUUGCGGGUAAGUUACUGCUUCCCCAUCGGGGU